ACGAACGCUGGCGGCAUGCCUAACACAUGCAAGUCGAACGAUCCCUUCGGGGAUAGUGGCGCGCGGGUGCGUAACGCGUGGGAACCUGCCCUUAGGUUCGGAAUAACUCAGAGAAAUUUGAGCUAAUACCGGAUAAUGUCUUCGGACCAAAGAUUUAUCGCCUUUGGAUGGGCCCGCGUUGGAUUAGCUAGUUGGUGGGGUAAAGGCCUACCAAGGCGACGAUCCAUAGCUGGUCUGAGAGGAUGAUCAGCCACACUGGGACUGAGACACGGCCCAGACUCCUACGGGAGGCAGCAGUGGGGAAUAUUGGACAAUGGGCGAAAGCCUGAUCCAGCAAUGCCGCGUGAGUGAUGAAGGCCUUAGGGUUGUAAAGCUCUUUUACCCGGGAUGAUAAUGACAGUACCGGGAGAAUAAGCCCCGGCUAACUCCGUG
rnacentral:rRNA from 1 species